GAUUCUGGCUCAGGAUGAACGCUAGCGAUAGGCCUAACACAUGCAAGUCGAGGGGCAGCAUAGAGUAGCAAUACUUGAUGGCGACCGGCGCACGGGUGAGUAACACGUAUGCAACCUACCUACAUCAGGGGAAUAACCCGGAGAAAUUCGGACUAAUACCGCGUAAUACAGGGAUGCCGCAUGGCAAUAUUUGUUAAAGAUUUAUCGGAUGUAGAUGGGCAUGCGUUCCAUUAGCUGGUUGGUAAGGUAACGGCUUACCAAGGCAACGAUGGAUAGGGGAACUGAGAGGUUUGUCCCCCACACUGGAACUGAGACACGGACCAGACUCCUACGGGAGGCAGCAGUGAGGAAUAUUGGUCAAUGGACGAGAGUCUGAACCAGCCAAAUCGCGUGAAGGAAAGACUGCCCUACGGGUUGUAAACUUCUUUUGUACAGGAAUAAAAGACAUUACGUGUAAUGUAUUGCAUGUACUGUACGAAUAAGCAUCGGCUAACUCCGUGCCAGCAGCCGC
rnacentral:rRNA from 1 species